rnacentral:tRNA from 1 species
AGCGUCAGUGGCUCAGUUGGUUAAGGCGCACAACUUACACUCAAGGGGUCGUGGGUUCGAUCCCCGGUGAAGUUA